ensembl:lncRNA
ACCAGGACUAAACCAGAACUAAACCAGGUCUAAACCAGGACUAAACCAGGUCUAAACCAGGACUAAACCAGAACUAAACCAGGUCUAAACCAGGACUAAAACAGGACUAAAACAGGACUAAACCAGAACUAAACCAGGUCUAAACCAGGACUAAACCAGGACUAAACCAGGACUAAACCAGGACUAAACCAGGACUAAACCAGGUCUAAACCAGGACUAAACCAGGACUAAACCAGGACUAAACCAGGACUAAACCAGGUCUAAACCAGGACUAAAACAGGACUAAACCAGGACUAAACCAGGACUAAACCAGGACUAAACCAGGUCUAAACCAGGACUAAACCAGAACUAAACCAGGACUAAACUAGGACUAAACCAGGACUAAACCCAGUGUUAAAUAGAAUCAAAUGAGUGAAACCUGAGCGGAUCCAAAGAGUCCAAAGUGUC